GGGGCAGCAUGGUCUUAGCUUGCUAAGGCCGAUGGCGACCGGCGCACGGGUGAGUAACACGUAUCCAACCUGCCGUCUACUCUUGGACAGCCUUCUGAAAGGAAGAUUAAUACAAGAUGGCAUCAUGAGUCCGCAUGUUCACAUGAUUAAAGGUAUUCCGGUAGACGAUGGGGAUGCGUUCCAUUAGAUAGUAGGCGGGGUAACGGCCCACCUAGUCUUCGAUGGAUAGGGGUUCUGAGAGGAAGGUCCCCCACAUUGGAACUGAGACACGGUCCAAACUCCUACGGGAGGCAGCAGUGAGGAAUAUUGGUCAAUGGGCGCAGGCCUGAACCAGCCAAGUAGCGUGAAGGAUGACUGCCCUAUGGGUUGUAAACUUCUUUUAUAAAGGAAUAAAGUCGGGUAUGUAUACCCGUUUGCAUGUACUUUAUGAAUAAGGAUCGGCUAACUCCGUGCCAGCAGCCGCGGUAAUACGGAGGAUCCGAGCGUUAUCCGGAUUUAUUGGGUUUAAAGGGAGCGUAGAUGGAUGUUUAAGUCAGUUGUGAAAGUUUGCGGCUCAACCGUAAAAUUGCAGUUGAUACUGGAUAUCUUGAGUGCAGUUGAGGCAGGCGGAAUUCGUGGUGUAGCGGUGAAUGCUUAGAUAUCACGAAGAACUCCGAUUGCGAAGGCAGCCUGCUAAGCUGCA
rnacentral:rRNA from 1 species